rnacentral:rRNA from 2 species
UACGAAGGGGGCUAGCGUUGUUCGGAAUUACUGGGCGUAAAGGGCGCGUAGGCGGCUCUACAAGUCAGGAGUGAAAUCCCCAGGCUCAACCUGGGAAUGGCUUUUGAGACUGUAGGGCUUGAGUACAGGAGAGGUGAGUGGAAUUCCCAGUGUAGAGGUAAAAUUCGUAGAUAUUGGGAGGAACACCAGUGGCGAAGGCGGCUCACUGGCCUGUAACUGACGCUGAGGCGCGAAAGCGUGGGGAGCAAACAGG